rnacentral:rRNA from 1 species
UUAAGUCUCGCAACGAGCGCAACCCUCGUGUUUAGUUGCCACUAUGAGUUUGGAACCCUGAACAGACCGCCGGUCGGGAUGGUUUGUGGAUUCCGAACAGCUAUGAGCCAAGUGGAUCAAGGCAGUGGAUUGUGAAUCCACCAUGCGCGGGUUCAAUUCCCGUCGUUCGCCCAUCGCAUUAUUGCAAAUUCCAAAAAUGCAAUUUUCCAU